rnacentral:rRNA from 1 species
UACGUAGGGUGCAAGCGUUUGUCCGGAAUUAUUGGGCGUAAAGAGCUCGUAGGCGGUCCGUCACGUCGGGGAGUGAAAACUCGGGGCUCAACCCCGAGCCUGCUUUCGAUACGGGCGGACUAGAGGUAGGUAGGGGAGAACGGAAUUCCUGGUGUAGCGGUGGAAUGCGCAGAUAUCAGGAGGAACACCGGUGGCGAAGGCGGUUCUCUGGGCCUUACCUGACGCUGAGGAGCGAAAGCGUGGGGAGCGAACAGG